UACAGAGGGGGCAAGCGUUGUUCGGAAUUACUGGGCGUAAAGGGCGCGUAGGCGGCCUGCUAAGUCGAACGUGAAAUCCCCGGGCUCAACCCGGGAACUGCGUCCGAUACUGGCAGGCUUGAAUCCGGGAGAGGGAUGCGGAAUUCCAGGUGUAGCGGUGAAAUGCGUAGAUAUCUGGAGGAACACCGGUGGCGAAGGCGGCAUCCUGGACCGGCAUUGGCGCUGAGGCGCGAAAGCCAGGGGAGCAAACGGG
rnacentral:rRNA from 1 species